rnacentral:lncRNA from 1 species
CCCAUCCCAACAAUGGGAAUGAUUUGGAGUUUCAAUUGUUGAUCAUUACAGAGUCGAUCCUUUAUCUGCAUCAAGUCUUGACUAAAUCCCACCAGAGUACUCUGGCCACUAGGAGCUGGUCGUGAUGGAAAAAAUUCCUGUGGUUGAAUUUUUUGUUUGCCAGUCUCAUCGUUAAUCUUCACCAUCUCUUCCAUGAAGGUAUCAAUUUCUGAUAUUAUUUUCUGCAAGUCCGUAAUAUUUACAUCUUCCUCUUCCAUCUUGGAAUCAACUUUUCUCACUCUUUUCAGCAAGCCUGUUUGCCAGGAUUCAAUGACAUCUUCAGCAUGAUAAGCAGCGUCUCUGAUUUUUAUUUCCAAGGAUUUCACUUUUUUGCUGCUAUAUUCAGAUGAUUCAGUAAGGAAAUGUAAUACUUUUGGGACUAUUUUUACCAGAGAGGAAAUUUCUUUUCUUUGAUUAAAACGAAUGGAAAGUCUAUCUUCAAGGAGGAUGUGACGAAGAAUGAUCUUAAGAGAAACAACAGCAGCAUAAGCCAUCUCUAAUCUCUAGAAAAAAUGCUCAAGCAAAG